rnacentral:rRNA from 1 species
GGAGUCUAGCAUGUGCGCAAGUCAUUGGGAAAUAACUAAACCUAAAGGCGCAAUGAAAGUAAAAGUUUGCCUUAUGCGCAGACCAAGGGAAGAUUGGUAAUUAUUUUCUAAUAGAGAUGAUUAUCACGCAUUCCCGGGGCGUCUCAUUCUUAUUGCAAGAAGAGGCGCACCAAGAGCGUACACGCUGGGACCCGAAAGAUGGUGAACUAUGCCUGGUCAGGACGAAGUCAGGGGAAACCCUGAUGGAGGUCCGUAGCGAUUCUGACGUGCAAAUCGAUCGUCGGAACUGGGUAUAGGGGCGAAAGACUAAUCGAACCAUCUAGUAGCUGGUUCCCUCCGAAGUUUCCCUCAGGAUAGCUGGCGUUCAUUAUGAACAAAAAUAAUACGAGUUUCAUCCGGUAAAGCGAAUGAUUAGAGGCAUUGGGGUCGAAACGGCCUCAACCUAUUCUCAAACUUUAAAUGGGUGAGAACUCCGGCUUGCUCGAAUUUUUUUUAUACGUAUUAUUAUUAGUGCAUAUGAGUGAAUAUGAAGCCGUGAGAUUUUGAAUCAGAGUGCCAAGUGGGCCAUUUUUGGUAAGCAGAACUGGCGCUGUGGGAUGAACCAAACGCUGAGUUAAAGCGCCUAAAUCGACGCUUAUGGGAUACCAUGAAAGGCGUUGGUAACUUAAGACAUCAGGACGGUGGCCAUGGAAGUC